UAAACAUUGUUUGUAUAGAUUAUAGAUUAACUAAAAGUAUUCCUUAUGGGAAACAAGGGAUGGGCCGAAAUAAAGGGAUGGGUUCUGGCUAGUAAUCUGCAGCAGGAGCAUGUCCUUAAGGCACAGAUCACUCAUGCUAUUGUUUGUGGUUUAAAAACGCCUUUAAGCGGUUUUCUGCCCUGGAUGGGCCAGGUGUUCCUUGCCCCCAUUCCGGUAAACCCACAACCUUCCAGCAUGUGCGUCAUGGCCAUCACGAGCAUAUCACAGUGCUGCAGAGAUUUUGUUUAUGGCCAAUUUCGGGGCCAGUUUAUGGCCAGAUUUUGCGGGGGGGCCUGUUCCCAACACUGCUUGAUCCCAUACUCUCUCCAACCUCACACAUAGCAUGCACUGAAAGCAAACUCACAAAGUCAGCAGCAUGGUACAUUUCCUUUAAUUUAGGAAAGGAACUGAGUCCAGACUAAAUGAGGAACCUCAUGCCUCUCUGGUGUCUCAAUUUCCCACCUAACUAUUGGGAUCUGCAAAGUCAACAUUUUUAAAGAAUCACAUGCUCCUUGUAUAGACGGAAGGAACACACCAGAAGAACCUGGACAGGUUUUAAUCCUUUGAGAAUUAAAGUCCCAAACUGCACCAAAAAAGAUAAUUCUGCAGUCUUUCUGGAAGCUUCUCUCCUCAUAAAUCUGUUGCCAUUUAACAGGGUGAUGAACAUGACAUUGAUUCUAGGGUUUCCAAUAGACACAGUGGGUCAUAGGUACAAUUUUGCUCCUUUCACUCCGGGAGUCUUAGGCACAGCUGUGUCCAAAAGGAUUUGCUGCCCUUUAUUUGGGUUUGCAAGGAUGUUGUAUUUCUCUGCAUUGCAGAUUUCCACAGCUUUGUGAGCAAGCCAUAAUUAUUUCCAGACAAGAUGCUGGCUCAGAUGACUGCCUCAUCCCUAAUGUGGCUUCUCAGUUUCGCAAGAGGAAAACCCAGAACUUUCCUCCCUGUGCCUUCUGUGCCUCCUGGUAACGUGGCAAAGAGAAAUCACAACUAGGAAAGAAGUCGUCAUUUUAGGCGAUGAUAAAGCAUUCCCAGAAUAAAAUAACUUGUUCAAAUUCCAAACCCACAUGUAUAGAAACUAUAAUUUUUGUUUUGUUCUGUUGUUUUUUUGAGACAGAGUCUUGCUCUGUUGCCCAGGCUGGAGUGCAAUGGUGUGAUCUCGGCUCACUGCAACCUCCGCCUCCCGGCUUCAAGUGAUUCUCCUGCCUCAGCCUCCCGAGUAGCUGGGAUCACACACACAUGCCACCACGCCUGGCUAAUUUUUUAUAUCUUUAGCAGAGACAGGGUAUCACCAUGUUGGCCAGGCUGGUCUCAAACUCCUGACCUCAUGAUCCACCCGCCUCAGCUUCCCAAAGUGCUGGAAUUACAGCUGUGAGGCACCACGCCCGGCCAAAACUAUAAUUUUCUGUGUGGAUGGCAACUUUCUUCCACAAACAGAAUAAGGGGUGAUUGUGCCAAUGGUUUCUGCUCUUGAAAUAUACCUGGGUCUGGAGGCAAGUCUGCAAUGAUAGAACAUUCAGCAGCCCAUCUGUGUGUGAAAAGCCUGCCAUACGGCAAAGAACGAGCAAACUGGAGAACCACACCAACCCAUUUCCAUUCCCCAGCCCUCUGAAAACCCACAAAGAGAAGUUCAGUUGGGCAGCUAGAGCUUGCUGGGAACUAAGGAGUCCACUGAGUGACCAUAAGCACUGAAGAGCUUGCAUUUGCAUUGGCUUUCCUUAAAGAUUUGGUUUUAAGUAGCAAAACAAAUACAAAUUCAAGAGACAUCUUGCUUAAAAAAAAAAAGGUGGAGGGGAAGGUGGUAUUUAUAUUGCCACGUCAAUUUUUUAAUGCACUUUAAGAUGAAAGAAAUGUCCAUUAAAACAGGGAAUAAUAACCAGUCCCUAAAGAUCCAUUUGCAGCUCUUUUCACUUCCUCCAGAGUGAAAGAAAUUCCAGUUUCAUGAUGUCACUGCCUUAGCCAGAUCUUUCUGAGGAUGCAGCUGCUCAGAUGCACACAGGUUCUGUUUGUGCAGUUUCCUCCUGUGUUUCCCAGAGGCGAAUGAGGAGGACGGGCCAUGGCAACAUUCAACAAGCUGGCCUCACCCAGCACAUACACACCUGCCAUCUCUGCAGUUCUGACCUUGGCUAGCCUCACUCCACUGUCUAGCUUUAAGCCCCAUCUUCAUCUUUGAGCAGUGGCUGGAAGUUACAGCUGCAGCAAAUGUGCAGAAUAUGAAAAGAAUUUAGAAUAGAAUUAGACCAGAAACGAUGUUGUUAAAUCCAGCCAUGUGCUACAGAGACCUGGCAAGGUUGCAGGCAUGUCUAAGUGUACAGAAGCAGGUGACAUAUGACCGAAUGUAGGGGCCAGGACUAGGAGCUGACCUUUGCAAGACAGUGACUUAGCAAGUACAAAAUCAACAAAAAUCAUCCUGACCUCUCUACUUCUAACUCCUGCACCCAAGCUAACAUCCCUGCUCAUGAUGCAACCUCGGCCAGCUGGCAGUAAAAUGAUCAAUCUUCAAGAGGGUGACGCCACAGACAUCCCCUUCCAUCCGCUUCUGUGCCGAUCAGCUGUGGCAUGAGGGCUACAGCCCCGACGCAGGUGUAAACAUCCGUGUGGCUCUGACACUCCUACACGAGAAUGCUUCUUGGAUUUGCCGUAAAACAGACUAAAAGAACGACAGGGAUCAGCACAAAUGAAACAGACAUGGUCACCUCCCAGGGAGGACUUGAGGACAGUGGGAGGCACUCCCUCCAGCCAUGGUUCUGACAGCACCAGGCAGGCUGGGAAGGGCACCUCUGCUGAACAACCGUGUGCUCAAGGCCGCACAAUUCAUUCUUUCAAGUCCCACAUCUACUUCACCUUGUUUUAAGGGAUGAUGGUAUAAAUAAGAGCUACAGUAGCAGCCACAGAAGGAAAGCAGGGUGGAAAUGCAUUCUGGAUGGUCCUCUAAAGUAAAAAUAAAUAAGAACUCUGUGUCGUUGAAUAAAUCCUCUCUUCUCUCAUGCGCCCUGCACUUCCAUAGGCUGGGCAGUUCGUGCUUGGAAAGAUGCUCAGCCCAGACGUGAAGUGUCUGGCCCCCACUGGUGCCGUUUUUGGAGAAAGCCAGUGAACAGGGGGCCACUCCUGCACUGGGGCUUGGAUCUCUGGUGGAACCUGAUUCUGAGGAUUUCAUAGCUGUUUCCUCUCAUCCUCAUUUGUUUCCUUUCUUUCUUUCUUUUUUUUUUUUUUUUUUUUUUUUUUGAGAUGGAGUCUCGCUCUGUCACCCAGGCUGGAGUGCAGUGGCGCGAUCUUGG
rnacentral:lncRNA from 10 species